GCCAAGUAUACCUAGGGAUUGAGUUUUAACGGGUAAAUAGAUGUUGAGUGAGAAGUUAGAGUAAAGAAGAGAUUGGAUUUAGAAUUUGAGUUUCUGACUAAGGUUUGUUUUAUCACAUGAACCUUCGAUGACGAUGACGAUGUGAUGAUGACGUAUGAAGGCCCGAGCGAGACGAAGAAGUAAGUUGCCUGAUUUCUUUCCAGAAUAAGCGAAGGACUUCAGGCUAAGCUGGGAGUGAGAUUGGACUGGUGCUGAUGGGGGAGAGUUUCAAAUGAUGUAAAUUAAAUUACUAUUUUGCCUCUAUGAUAAUAGAGUCUUGAUGUUUGAAUUACUUAGUUUCUUUUGAGAUCAAGCAAUACACUCACGGUUAUGUGUCUUCAUACAUAUAAUCGGUUCGCC